GAAACACGGACCAAGGAGUCUAGCAUGUGCGGGGAGUCCAUUGGGACAUAACUAAACCUAAAGGCGUAAUGAAAGUAAAAGUCCGCCUCGCGCGGACCGAGGGAAGAUGGGCGUCGGUCUUUAAACGCCGCGUCCCGCAUUCCCGGGGCGUCUCGUUCUCAUUGCGAGAAGAGGCGCACCAAGAGCGUACACGCUGGGACCCGAAAGAUGGUGAACUAUGCCUGGUCAGGACGAAGUCAGGGGAAACCCUGAUGGAGGUCCGUAGCGAUUCUGACGUGCAAAUCGAUCGUCGGAACUGGGUAUAGGGGCGAAAGACUAAUCGAACCAUCUAGUAGCUGGUUCCCUCCGAAGUUUCCCUCAGGAUAGCUGGCGCUCGCAUUUCACGAGUCUCAUCCGGUAAAGCGAAUGAUUAGAGGCAUUGGGGCCGAAACGGCCUCAACCUAUUCUCAAACUUUAAAUGGGUGAGAUCUCCGGCUUGCUCGAACCGAUGAAGCCGCGAGAUACGGAUCAGAGUGCCAAGUGGGCCAUUUUUGGUAAGCAGAACUGGCGCUGUGGGAUGAACCAAACGUCGAGUUAAAGCGCCCAAAUCGACGCUUAUGGGACACCAUGAAAGGCGUUGGUAACUUA
rnacentral:rRNA from 1 species